ensembl:lncRNA
AUCCGAUUCAUAAAAGAACUAAAACAGUCUUUAUUCACAGAUGAUGUAAUAAUUGUGUGCCUAGAAAUUCUAAGAUUAUCUGCCAAGAAACUGCUAACACCAAGCAUAGAGUUUGUUUCUGUUUAGUUUCUUAGUCGUGUCUGACUCGUUUGUGUCCUAAUGGACUGUAGCCUGCCAGGCUCCUCUGUCCAUGGGAUUUCCCAGGCAAGAGUACUGGAGUGGGGUGCCAUUUCCUUCUCCAGGGGAUCUUACCAACCCAGGGAUCAAACCUGCGUCUUCUGCAUUGGCAGGCAGAUUCUUUGCCACUGAGCCACCUGGGAAGCCCGGAUAGAGUUCAGCCAGGUGUUAAGCCAUGCUGUGCAGCUUGCAGGGAUCUUAGUUUCCCAACCAGGGAUUGAACCCUAGUCCUGGGCAAUGAUAGUCCUAACCACUGGACCACCAAGGAAUUCCUUGGGGAGCUCCAAACGCUGGGACACUUACUGGCUCUCCACUGGACGGUGCCUCAAGGAUUUCGCAACUUCCAUUUCCU